rnacentral:pre_miRNA from 1 species
UUAACUCAUAUUUGUAUGGAAUGGAAUCGUUUGCCUACGCUCGCCGCUAGGGGCGCUGUUCCAACUGCAUACAAAACUAGGCGA